rfam:Zea mays cultivar B73 chromosome 4, whole genome shotgun sequence.
UUACCUUUCUCGACCUUUUGGCUAAGAUAAAUUAUAAUAUUUGUUUUUACCAGUUUAAUAUCUAAUAUGUGAACCAUAUGACCACUUUGAUAUUAAAUUUACUUUUAUAGUUAUUGUUGGGGGCCUUCCUCAUCCGAAGGUCCUAAAAAACGUGACUAACAUAUUUUUUAGUGUAAUAUAGACUGCUGCAGGAAGC